GCUCCCGUAGCUCAGUGGAUAGAGCAUCUGCCUUCUAAGCAGAGGGUCGCAGGUUCGAGUCCUGCCGGGGGCGCCA
rnacentral:tRNA from 1 species